CAGUGCUUAACUUAACAUCUUACCAAAUUCCUCUCACACAGCUAGCUUAAAGAGCUCAGUGAAACAGGCGUAGGCUAAGAAGGAAAGAGCAAACUGAUAUUUCCAUCCAGAACUGCUAGCUCAUUUAAAAGUGAGGAACAAUUAAAAGUGUGUGAACAUUUCGGUUAAACGAUGGGCGGCGAAGACAGAACGCAAGAUGCCAAAGAUGAAGAAGGCGAUGAAAGGAAAUGAGAAAAAGGAAGCGGGCUUCUCCUGGCGCUGCCCCUUCAACCAUCCACUUCACCUCUCCCUCUGCAGCUGAGCCACAACACACACCUCCCUGCCACACUGCCAAACCUUGACAUUGACUCCAAAAGUGGCACGAAGGGAUGAACAACCACUCUUCUAUAAAAUAUUCCCUCAUUUAGUGUUUUGGACAUGAUGACGGAAAGUGCUGGUGACGGCAGAGUCGAGCGGGAGGUGUGCUGGACCGGGACGAACUGUCACAGCGCAUUGUUAUCAUAAAUAAAAAUGUUUUCGUGAGCAAAAACGGUGUGUGUGUGCGUGUCGCAUACGUCACAGUGUGUUAUUCUGCUGGAAGCCACUAUCACAAGAUGGGUAGACUGUUG
ensembl:lncRNA